GAUUUCUUUCCGGCAGUCAGUCCUUUUGGUGUUUUCUGCUGCAAGCCGAAGGCAUGAGAAUUCAGCAGUGUUAAACCUUGAGGUACUGGGACAUAAACGUACAGCCCAAAAAACAUGACAGAACAAGUAAGAAAGAAGAAGGAAGGAAGGAAAAGGAAGGAAAAAAGAAAAAGGAAACAAAAAGAACAUAGGAAAGAAUACAGAAAAAAACAUCAGAAAAAAAAAUGGGAGGAAAAGAACAGAAAAGAAAACAAUGGGACAAGAGGGGGAAAAAAAAAAGAAAGAAAAAGAAGGAAAGAAACUUGGAAAAAGACAAUUCCAGUAUACUUCCUGAAAGGAUUUUCAGUAAAAGACUAAUAAGCCAUAUACUGCGACAGUACUGUAAGUCAGAGGAAGAAGGCUAUGAAAUGGAGUGGGCAGCUACACACAUCAGGACCACUAAGGAGAAAGUGGUUCUGGACUCAUGGCAUCAGGUCACUCAAGCAGCGGAAUGAGAUGGCCAAAGGCUGUGCAGUCUCCAGCCAUGGAGGUUUCAAGAUCAGACCAGUUAGAGACCUAAGUAACUUGGUCUGACAUUAGAACUGAUCCUGUUUUGAGGAGAGGGUUAGACUAGAGACCUCCUGAGAUCUCUUUCAACCUUUAACGAUGAUACUAUAUUUCUGGAGGAAGCCUUCCCAAAUUGGAUAUAAGCGAGAUAUUAAGCUACAUCUUUAUGAAGAGACUAUUCAGAUCUCUGAUCCACUCACUUUUUCCCUACUUUGAUACUAGCUGUCUUCUACUGGUAGAAUUCUGAGUGUAACAGGAGGUAUGCAUUCAUUUCAAUGUCUUUUAAUACUUAUCCGAAAGAAUAAUUACCACUUGAAAUUCUUGGAGAUGUUAUGUUGUAGGUUUUUCCUUAGACAUGAAUACCUUUUUUCUGAAGAUGUAUUAUUUAAUACAUAGACUAAAGGAUAUACACUUGUCUCUGCUACUAAUAUGUAUCAUCUAUUCUUUAUAUGUGGCGUUAGACUUAACCAAUUUUCUCUAAAAUACAUCCAAGACAGAUCUAAGUUCAUUCUGGGCUUAGGUUUACGCUCUAUAUAUACUAGCUUACAGAAACCCUGGUUAGCCAGAAUUUUUACAAUUAGAGCUUGUCUCUUUCUGUGGGCAUUGAACCAGACCUAUUGCACUGAUUGCUGUGGUUUUACCUGGCAGGUGAGUGAGCACCAUGCAGUGGUUUGCUCACUGCCCUCCUUCCCUGUGUGAUGGGGGAAAAAAUCAGGAAAAAAGAAAAAAGAAAUAGAAUUUGUGGGCUUGUGGGUUGAGAUAAAACUAUUUACUAAGAUAGAGAAAAGGAUAAUAGUUAUGACUGUAUGUAUAUGUGUGAAUGUAAAUAACAGGGGAUGCAGAAGCACUUGCUCACCACCCCUUGACCAAUGCUCAGCUAGUCCUCCAAGCGGCGUAAGAGAGAGAGAUGAAUGCCCACUCCCUUCAAAAUUUCUUCUGCUUGGUAUAGUAUGGAAUAUCCCUUGGGUCAGUUUGUGUCAGCUGUCCUAAUUCUGUUCCAUCCCUUCUCCUUGGGCCCUUUGCUGAGAAUGGCCUUGGUUCUCUGUACAACCCUGCUUAGCAGCAACUAUAAACAUUGGUGUGUUAUCAGCAUUGUUUUUCUCCUGGAACCAAUACACAGCAUCAUACAUUAGACACCCUAAAGAAAACAACUCUGUCCCAGCUGAAAGUGAGGCACUGAUUCACUGACCAGUAGUUUUUACACUGAAAUACAGAAGUUACUCAUUCAUAAAGGAGGCAGGAGAGAACAAUCUGCUGUCUUUGUGUAAAUUCAUCAUCACUUUACAUUGGAACAUGGGAUUUUGCCAGUAGUUUGCUAUUUGGUUUUGUGCAAUGAUAUCUGUGUAUCUAACUGCUGAGUGUACUGAACAAUUGUGUUAUUGUAAUGGUUAAAUUGCUCCUAGAGGCCUAUUUAAGCCUGAUAAAAAUUAUAAAUGAAUAAAUUAAAC
rnacentral:lncRNA from 1 species